rnacentral:rRNA from 1 species
UACGAAGGGGGCUAGCGUUGCUCGGAAUCACUGGGCGUAAAGCGCACGUAGGCGGACUCUUAAGUCGGUGGUGAAAUCCUGGAGCUCAACUCCAGAACUGCCUUCGAUACUGAGAGUCUUGAGUCCGGGAGAGGUGAGUGGAACUGCGAGUGUAGAGGUGAAAUUCGUAGAUAUUCGCAAGAACACCAGUGGCGAAGGCGGCUUACUGGCCCGGUACUGACGCUGAGGUGCGAAAGCGUGGGGAGCAAACAGG